CUCAACUGAAGAGAAUAGGGAAAUGUUAGCCUCAAUUCUAGAGGGUGUAACAGAUAUUCUACUAUUUUUUAAACUCUGGUUUACAUGAAGACAUGCUUUUAACACCUCUAUAAAUACUGCUAAUAUCAAGGAAGGAAAAUGGAUUAGAGGAUUCUGUGAGCAGGUCUUUCGAAGAGCAAGGAGAACAAAGGAUUCUUCGGCACAUCUGAAGAGGACUGGUUGAGUGUGCCUGAAUAUAGGGUCAUGGUUUGAAAAAGGCUGAGAACCCCCUACCUUGCACUAAAAGGUUUUCAAUACACUGAGACACAUUUUUUUAAAAUGUGCUCCUAUAAGCCAUGUUAGGGCCAGUU
ensembl:lincRNA